GGUCGACCAAGACGAGAGGCUGUUGUAACUGAACGGCGAGCAACUGCAGAAGCCAACGCUUCACUUUCAAGUAGACGACUUCUGUGAAUGCCUUCUAACUAUACCUUCUUAAAGAACAGAUCGAAGGAUUAAAUUACAUCAGUGUAAAAGAAAACAUACCUCAAUUCUUCAAUUUCCUCAACAUAUCCAGCAAUCAAUUCCUCCACACCACCCUUCAUAUCUACGUAAUAUAAGGAUAAAAAGUCGAUGAAAUUAAAAGAACAUUAAACAUCUACGAAGCUACUAUAACAUUGUAACUAUAUAAAAUUAUUUAAAAUAUUCAAGGAAAGAAAAAGGCACAUAUUUCACAUAACCAUACCUCCAUUAAGCAUUGCAACACCUUUGUUUGCCAUGUACUCUGUGAUUCGUUUCUUUUGCUCCUCAACUGUAUGAUUUAAUGCCUUUAUACGCAUGUGUAAUCUGAAAAAAAAACAUAAACUUAUUAAACAAUCACUGCCUUACAACACUAUCAUCAACAACUAUAUUCAAUGGAAAAACUAAAAAUUUUCAAGCUCGUUCUUGCCAACAUUUCAAAAAGAUUUCAUGACCAUACAAGUAAAGUACAAAGUCUUUAUACACUAUGACCAUCCAAGUAAAGUAUAGAGUCUUUAUAUACUACAACAAUACAAGUAAAGAACAAAGUCUUUAUACACUAUGACCAUCCAAGUAAAGUAUAGAGUCUUUAUAUACUACAACCAUAUCAUAGUGUAAUAAACACUUACUUAUCAUUCUCAGUUUGUAACAUGGUAUUUUCAUGAUACAUAUCAUUGAUAUGUGUUUCACCUUCACCAGCAAUUCUCUUUCCCUAUUCAUUCAACAAAAAUUAAAAAUACAUGUGUUUAAAAUACAAUAAAUAUUAUAACGUUA